ensembl:lncRNA AABR07054341.2
CAUGAGCCCUAGGCACAGCCCCCAGCUCCCUCUGUUGGCACUCUCACGGGCUCAUUCGUCUCUGGGGGCGGGGGAGGAGGCUUUGUCAGCACCAGGAGGCUGGCAUAGCCCAGGGGAGUCUCAGGGGAAGCGCCAUUCCCCUUGCCAGGACCUGUGGGACAGUGAAAGCAGGGGGAGGCGAGCAGACCUUGAUGUUUACCGAGGCCCCUUUGGCUCUGCCGGCUCCCUAAGGUUUUUCUGGGCUCAUGCCAGCUGGGCCGGGCAGGCUCUGGGACGUGGGAAUUCACAGCCCAGUGAGGAGGUGGUCCGGAGGUGUGUGAGAAACAAGAAAGCUACAAGGAGUAAGCCACAAGCAGCACUGCCCCAUGGCUUCUGCUUCCUCUAGUUCUCCCUCUGACUUCUCUUCAUGAUGGACUGUGAUCUGGACAUGUAACCUGAAAUAAAGCCUUUUCCUC